GAUGAAGAACGUAGCGAAAUGCGAUAAGUAAUGUGAAUUGCAGAAUUCAGUGAAUCAUCGAAUCUUUGAACGCACAUUGCGCCCCUUGGUAUUCCGAGGGGCAUGCCUGUUCGAGCGUCAUUAUAACCCCUCAAGCUCAGCUUGGUGUUGGGGCCUGCCGCACGGGCAGCCCUUAAAAUCAGUGGCGGUGCCAUCUGGCUCUAAGCGUAGUAAUUCUUCUCGCUAUAGAGUCCCGGUGGAUGCUUGCCAUUAACCCCCAAUUUUCUAUGGUUGUCCUCGGAUCAGGUAGGGAUACCCGCUGAACUUAAGCAUAUCAAUAAGCGGAGGA
rnacentral:misc_RNA from 1 species